CGUGAAUUUGUUUGUUAGAAAGAGCCGAAUAUUUAACGAAUCGAAUAAAAGAAAAUGAAAAUUUCAAAUUGGUCUGCGAACCAUCUUACAUCAAUAUUUGUUUUUGGUACAUUCCUGAAGCUCAACGAGGCCAAAAUAUAGGCGAUAUUUAUCAAGAAAUUGACAAAGUUGCUCCCAGAGUAGGAGAAAUUAUGCUACGUAAUGGUUCUGCGAUGAUCAACUGGCAACCGUUGAGACGUUUACCGAAUUUUUUUAGAUUCGUAUGCUGCAGUUCUGCGAUCAACAAUUCAGAUUGCGAUUAUCUGCUUUCAGAAAUUCAACGAAUCGCCCAAGACUUAUAACGCCGAAUAUAUAAUAGACAGCAAUUUUGUACAUUUCAGAAAUACAUUCGAUCUUCUCAUU